rnacentral:rRNA from 1 species
UACGGGGGGGGGCGAGCGUUAUUCGGAAUUAUUGGGCGUAAAGGGCGCGUAGGCGGCUUGGUAAGUCAAAGGUGAAAUCCCUCGGCUCAACUGAGGAAUUGCCUUUGAAACUGCCUGGCUUGAGGCCGGGAGGGGGUAGCGGAAUUCCCAGUGUAGCGGUGAAAUGCGUAGAUAUCGGGAGGAACACCGGUGGCGAAGGCGGCUUCCUGGACCGACACUGACGCUGAGGCGCGAAAGCUAGGGGAGCAAACGGG